GAACGGCAGCACGGGUGCUUGCACCUGGUGGCGAGUGGCGAACGGGUGAGUAAUACAUCGGAACAUGUCCAGUAGUGGGGGAUAGCCCGGCGAAAGCCGGAUUAAUACCGCAUACGAUCUUUGGAUGAAAGCGGGGGACCUUCGGGCCUCGCGCUAUUGGGGUGGCCGAUGGCGGAUUAGCUAGUUGGUGGGGUAAAGGCCUACCAAGGCGACGAUCCGUAGCUGGUCUGAGAGGACGACCAGCCACACUGGGACUGAGACACGGCCCAGACUCCUACGGGAGGCAGCAGUGGGGAAUUUUGGACAAUGGGGGCAACCCUGAUCCAGCAAUGCCGCGUGUGUGAAGAAGGCCUUCGGGUUGUAAA
rnacentral:rRNA from 1 species